AGGACGAACGCUGGCGGCGUGCUUAACACAUGCAAGUCGAGCGGAAAGGCCCUUCGGGGUACUCGAGCGGCGAACGGGUGAGUAACACGUGAGUAAUCUGCCCCUAGCUCUGGGAUAGCUCCGGGAAACCGGGAUUAAUACCAGAUACGACCACUUUAGACAUCUGUUGUGGUGGAAAGAAUUUUGGCUAGGGAUGAGCUCGCGGCCUAUCAGCCUGUUGGUGAGGUAACGGCUCACCAAGGCGACGACGGGUA
rnacentral:rRNA from 1 species